CCACUUCACUUUGCUGUACUUGCCCGAGUUCUGUCUCUCCCACGUGCAGGUCUGUUCGAAGUUGCAGCAGCUUCAACCCUUGCAAAAUCGCUAGGGUUUCAGCUUGAAUCGGGGAUGAGGCUCGGACCUUCCGCACAAAACCGUCGAUCACUUGCCCGGCGUGGUCCCGCAAAAUACCAGCGAUUGAUCCGGUUUGUUCCCCCUGUUUCCAAGAUCCGUCGACGUUCAUCUUCAGCUUUCCUUCCUCCGGUGGCCUCCACUGGUUCGGUCUACUAUGGUGUUCGGUUCCAGUUUUUGGCCUCUGAAGAUCAAAUUGUUGCGUGCUUUCCAGACAAACCAGAGGAUCAUCGCUAGCAGCUCUUUCUCGGAGAAGAAACAGGUGCUCGGUUGUUUCCACUUGAUUAUUGCAUAGCGUGCAAAGGGGUUGAGGACUUGUAGGCUUUCUCGAAUGUAAAAUUCUUUUGCAACAUGUGCACGUCGGAGCAAUAUCUUGUUAUGCUGAUGACAUACAAAGAGACUCCAUUAUUCUUACACCAUCAUGUGACAUUCUUUAUUCCUUUCUUUU